rnacentral:tRNA from 1 species
GGAGGCGUAGCCAAGUGGUCAUACGGCGCCGGUCUCGAAAACCGAGCGGGUCGCAAGGCCCACAGAGGUUCGAAUCCUCUCGCCUCCG